CUCCAGCUGACGAGUCUCAAAUAAGACGAACCUUUUGUCCUGGAU
rnacentral:hammerhead_ribozyme from 1 species